rnacentral:rRNA from 1 species
GAUGAACGCUGGCGGCGUGCCUAAUACAUGCCAGUCGAGCGAACGGACGAGAAGCUUGCUUCUCUGAUGUUAGCGGCGGACGGGUGAGUAACACGUGGAUAACCUACCUAUAAGACUGGGAUAACUUCGGGAAACCGGAGCUAAUACCGGAUAAUAUUUUGAACCGCAUGGUUCAAUAGUGAAAGACGGUUUUGCUGUCACUUAUAGAUGGAUCCGCGCUGCAUUAGCUAGUUGGUAAGGUAACGGCUUACCAAGGCAACGAUGCAUAGCCGACCUGAGAGGGUGAUCGGCCACACUGGAACUGAGACACGGUCCAGACUCCUACGGGAGGCAGCAGUAGGGAAUCUUCCGCAAUGGGCGAAAGCCUGACGGAGCAACGCCGCGUGAGUGAUGAAGGUCUUCGGAUCGUAAAACUCUGUUAUUAGGGAAGAACAAAUGUGUAAGUAACUGUGCACAUCUUGACGGUACCUAAUCAGAAAGCCACGGCUAACUACGUG